UACGGAGGGUGCAAGCGUUAUCCGGAUUUACUGGGUUUAAAGGGUGUGUAGGCGGGCUGUUAAGUCAGUGGUGAAAUCUCCGGGCUCAACCCGGAAACUGCCGUUGAUACUAAUGGUCUUGAAUAUUGUUGAGGUAGGCGGAAUAAGUCAUGUAGCGGUGAAAUGCAUAGAUAUGACUUAGAACACCGAUUGCGAAGGCAGCUUACUAAACAAUUAUUGACGCUGAGGCACGAAAGCGUGGGGAUCAAACAGG
rnacentral:rRNA from 1 species